rnacentral:rRNA from 1 species
CAAUAGCGUAUAUUUAAGUUGUUGCAGUUAAAAAGCUCGUAGUCGGAUUUUGGCUGAGAACGAUCGGUCCGCCGUUAGGUGUGCACUGAUUGGUCUCAGCUUCCUGGUGAGGAGGUGUGCUUCACGGCCACUUAGUCACCGUGGUUACUUUGAAAAAAUUAGAGUGUUCAAAGCGGGCUUACGCUUGAAUAUAUUAGCAUGGAAUAACACCAUAGGACUCCUGUCCUAUUUCGUUGGUCACGGGACGGGAGUAAUGAUUAAGAGGAACAGUUGGGGGCAUUCGUAGUUCAUUGUCAGAGGUGAAAUUCUUGGAUUUAUGAAAGACGAACUUCUGCGAAAGCAUUUGCCAAGGAUGUUUUCAUUGA